rnacentral:rRNA from 1 species
CGUGGACGUGGGCCGUCCACUGCGCAUGACACAGCGAGAAGUCCAUUGAACCUUAUCAUUUAGAGGAAGGAGAAGUCGUAACAAGGUUUCCGUAGGUGAACCUGCGGAAGGAUCAUUGUCGAGACACUUGGACGAUCAGUCGACCUUGCAAAACCAUGUGGGCCUUCGGCAGGUGUUGCGCUUGCACCAUUUGCACGAUUUUGGCCAUCCCAGAGAUUUAACAAGCAAGCUGGGUGCCAUAUGCACCAAGGGAUAUGUAACAUCGCUGGUAGAGUUGCUGUUGCUCAGCAAGUCUCUGGUAUGAUGGCUACUUGUAGCAUACGUUUUGACAUUUACAACUCUCGGCAACGGAUAUCUUGGCUCUCGCAUCGAUGAAGAACGCAGCGAAAUGUGAUAUGUGGUGUGAAUUGCAGAAUCCCGUGAACCAUUGAGUAUUUGAACGCAAGUUGCGCUCGAGGCAGCUAGCCGAGGGCGUGCCUGCCUGGGCGUCUUUCGAACGUUCGCUCCUCCUUGUAGAAGGCAAGCUAUGCAUUGCAUGCAUGCCGUCUUCACCGUGGAUGCGAUUGCUGGCCCCUCAUGCCGGAUGCAUGGUGGGUUAAAGACCGGGCGCCGGCCGACAAGCUCUUGGCAAUUUGUGGGUGGUGCAUUGGCUAAGCAUGGUUGAUGUCCGGAUCUAUUUGCCAGUGUGUAAGUCCGAAUUGCGGUCCCGAUAAACCCAUCUUUUUCACAUGGCCUUUCUCUAAUUGGCUAUGUGUCGCGACCUCAGGUCAGGUGCGGCCACCCGCUGAGUUUAAGCAUAUUAAUAAG